rnacentral:tmRNA from 1 species
UACGGAUUCGACAGGGAUAGUUCGAGCUUGGGCUGCGAGCCGAGGGGAUCGUCCUCGUAAAAACGUCAAAGCCAAUAAUAACUGGCAAACAAAACAACAACCUCGCUUUAGCUGCCUAAUAACAGCUUGAAGCGGUUCCUCCCUCCAUCGCCCAUGUGGUAGGGUAAGGGACUCACUCUUAGUGGGCUACGCCGUAGUUCUCCGCCUGGGGACAAAGGAAGAGAUGAAUCAGGCUAGCUGUCCAGACGCCCGUCGAUAGGCAAAAGGAACAGCGAAACCCGUAAUAUAUCGACUACGCUCGUAGACGUUCAAGUGCCGUUAUCUUUGGACGUGGGUUCGAUUA